CCCGUAACCCUCGUCAUUUGUGACCAACCUUACCGACCCAACACGUCGGAAGCUGAUGGUAGCGGAAGAGGAAGGACGGCUAACUCUGUGC
rnacentral:rRNA from 1 species